AAUCAACGCUGGCGGCGCGCUUAACACAUGCAAGUCGAACGAGAAAGUCCGCAAGGAUGAGUAAAGUGGCGUACGGGUGAGUAACACGUGGAUGAUCUACCUCCGAGUGGGGAAUAACUUUGGGAAACCGAAGAUAAUACCGCAUAAUACUGAGAGGUCAAAGCAGCAAUGCGCUUGGAGAGGAGUCCGCGGCCGAUUAGCUAGUUGGUAGGGUAAUGGCCUACCAAGGCGAUGAUCGGUAGCCGGCCUGAGAGGGCACACGGCCACACUGGCACUG
rnacentral:rRNA from 1 species